rnacentral:rRNA from 1 species
UACGUAGGGUGCGAGCGUUGUCCGGAUUUACUGGGCGUAAAGAGCGCGUAGGCGGCUUGUUAAGUGUGAUGUGAAAUCUCCAGGGCUCAACCCGGAAACUGCUUUACAUACUGGCAAGCUGGAGUGAUGCAGAGGUUUGUGGAAUUCCUGGUGUAGCGGUGAAAUGUGUUGAUAUCAGGAGGAACACCCAUGGCGAAGGCAGCAAACUGGGCAUCAACUGACGCUGAGGCGCGAAAGCGUGGGUAGCAAACAGG